GGUUAAGCGACUAAGCGUACACGGUGGAUGCCCUGGCAGUCAGAGGCGAUGAAGGGCGUGCUAAUCUGCGAUAAGCGCCGGUAAGGUGAUAUGAACCGUUAUAACCGGCGAUACCCGAAUGGGGAAACCCAGUGUGACUCGUCACACUAUCAUUAACUGAAUCCAUAGGUUAAUGAGGCGAACCGGGGGAACUGAAACAUCUAAGUACCCCGAGGAAAAGAAAUCAACCGAGAUUCCCCCAGUAGCGGCGAGCGAACGGGGAGGAGCCCAGAGCCUGAAUCAGCAUGUGUGUUAGUGGAAGCGUCUGGAAAGGCGCGCGAUACAGGGUGACAGCCCCGUACACAAAAGCGCAUGUGCUGUGAGCUCGAUGAGUAGGGCGGGACACGUGGUAUCCUGUCUGAAUAUGGGGGGACCAUCCUCCAAGGCUAAAUACUCCUGACUGACCGAUAGUGAACCAGUACCGUGAGGGAAAGGCGAAAAGAACCCCGGCGAGGGGAGUGAAAAAGAACCUGAAACCGUGUACGUACAAGCAGUGGGAGCACAGGUUUACCUGUGUGACUGCGUACCUUUUGUAUAAUGGGUCAGCGACUUAUAUUCUGUAGCAAGGUUAACCGAAUAGGGGAGCCGGAGGGAAACCGAGUCUUAAUUGGGCGUUAAGUUGCAGGGUAUAGACCCGAAACCCGGUGAUCUAGCCAUGGGCAGGUUGAAGGUUGGGUAACACUAACUGGAGGACCGAACCGACUAAUGUUGAAAAAUUAGCGGAUGACCUGUGGCUGGGGGUGAAAGGCCAAUCAAACCGGGAGAUAGCUGGUUCUCCCCGAAAGCUAUUUAGGUAGCGCCUCGUGAAUUCAUCUCCGGGGGUAGAGCACUGUUUCGGCUAGGGGGCCAUCCCGGCUUACCAACCCGAUGCAAACUGCGAAUACCGGAGAAUGUUAUCACGGGAGACACACGGCGGGUGCUAACGUCCGUCGUGAAGAGGGAAACAACCCAGACCGCCAGCUAAGGUCCCAAAGUCAUGGUUAAGUGGGAAACGAUGUGGGAAGGCCCAGACAGCCAGGAUGUUGGCUUAGAAGCAGCCAUCAUUUAAAGAAAGCGUAAUAGCUCACUGGUCGAGUCGGCCUGCGCGGAAGAUGUAACGGGGCUAAACCAUGCACCGAAGCUGCGGCAGCGAACGUAUCACCCAAGACAACUUUACGGAGUUGACGAUUGACGGAGCGAAGCGACGUCAAAGCGUUCAUUAAAGUCGAGUUGGCUUAGGGAUACGUUCGUUGGGUAGGGGAGCGUUCUGUAAGCCUGUGAAGGUGGCCUGUGAGGGUUGCUGGAGGUAUCAGAAGUGCGAAUGCUGACAUAAGUAACGAUAAAGCGGGUGAAAAGCCCGCUCGCCGGAAGACCAAGGGUUCCUGUCCAACGUUAAUCGGGGCAGGGUGAGUCGACCCCUAAGGCGAGGCCGAAAGGCGUAGUCGAUGGGAAACGGGUUAAUAUUCCCGUACUUGGUGUUACUGCGAAGGGGGGACGGAGAAGGCUAUGUUGGCCGGGCGACGGUUGUCCCGGUUUAAGCGUGUAGGCUGGUUUUCCAGGCAAAUCCGGAAAAUCAAGGCUGAGGCGUGACGACGAGGCACUACGGUGCUGAAGCAACAAAUGCCCUGCUUCCAGGAAAAGCCUCUAAGCAUCAGGUAACAUCAAAUCGUACCCCAAACCGACACAGGUGGUCAGGUAGAGAAUACCAAGGCGCUUGAGAGAACUCGGGUGAAGGAACUAGGCAAAAUGGUGCCGUAACUUCGGGAGAAGGCACGCUGACACGUAGGUGAAGUGAUUUACUCAUGGAGCUGAAGUCAGUCGAAGAUACCAGCUGGCUGCAACUGUUUAUUAAAAACACAGCACUGUGCAAACACGAAAGUGGACGUAUACGGUGUGACGCCUGCCCGGUGCCGGAAGGUUAAUUGAUGGGGUCAGCGCAAGCGAAGCUCCUGAUCGAAGCCCCGGUAAACGGCGGCCGUAACUAUAACGGUCCUAAGGUAGCGAAAUUCCUUGUCGGGUAAGUUCCGACCUGCACGAAUGGCGUAAUGAUGGCCAGGCUGUCUCCACCCGAGACUCAGUGAAAUUGAACUCGCUGUGAAGAUGCAGUGUACCCGCGGCAAGACGGAAAGACCCCGUGAACCUUUACUAUAGCUUGACACUGAACAUUGAGCCUUGAUGUGUAGGAUAGGUGGGAGGCUUUGAAGUGUGGACGCCAGUCUGCAUGGAGCCGACCUUGAAAUACCACCCUUUAAUGUUUGAUGUUCUAACGUGGACCCGUAAUCCGGGUUGCGGACAGUGUCUGGUGGGUAGUUUGACUGGGGCGGUCUCCUCCUAAAGAGUAACGGAGGAGCACGAAGGUUGGCUAAUCCUGGUCGGACAUCAGGAGGUUAGUGCAAUGGCAUAAGCCAGCUUGACUGCGAGCGUGACGGCGCGAGCAGGUGCGAAAGCAGGUCAUAGUGAUCCGGUGGUUCUGAAUGGAAGGGCCAUCGCUCAACGGAUAAAAGGUACUCCGGGGAUAACAGGCUGAUACCGCCCAAGAGUUCAUAUCGACGGCGGUGUUUGGCACCUCGAUGUCGGCUCAUCACAUCCUGGGGCUGAAGUAGGUCCCAAGGGUAUGGCUGUUCGCCAUUUAAAGUGGUACGCGAGCUGGGUUUAGAACGUCGUGAGACAGUUCGGUCCCUAUCUGCCGUGGGCGCUGGAGAACUGAGGGGGGCUGCUCCUAGUACGAGAGGACCGGAGUGGACGCAUCACUGGUGUUCGGGUUGUCAUGCCAAUGGCACUGCCCGGUAGCUAAAUGCGGAAGAGAUAAGUGCUGAAAGCAUCUAAGCACGAAACUUGCCCCGAGAUGAGUUCUCCCUGAGACUUUAGGUCUCCUGAAGGAACGUUGAAGACGACGACGUUGAUAGGCCGGGUGUGUAAGCGCAGCGAUGCGUUGAGCUAACCGGUACUAAUGAACCGUGAGGCUUAACCUU
rnacentral:rRNA from 2 species